rnacentral:rRNA from 1 species
UAGUGCCUACGGGGGGCAGCCGUGGGGGAUAUUGCACAAUGGGGGAAACCCUGAUGCAGCGACGCCGCGUGGGUGAAGAAGCGCCUCGGCGCGUAAAGCCCUGUCAGCAGGGAAGAAAAUGACGGUACCUGAAGAAGAAGCCCCGGCUAACUACGUGCCAGCAGCCGCGGUAAUACAUAGGGGGCAAGCGUUAUCCGGAUUUACUGGGUGUAAAGGGGGCGCAGACGGCGAUGCAAGCCAGGAGUGAAAGCCCGGGUCCCAACCCCGGGACUGCUCUUGGAACUGCGUGGCUAGAGUGCAGGAGG